rnacentral:rRNA from 1 species
AUUGAACGCUGGCGGCAUGCCUUACACAUGCAAGUCGAACGGUAACGCGGGGCAACCUGGCGACGAGUGGCGAACGGGUGAGUAAUGUAUCGGAACGUGCCCAGUUGUGGGGGAUAACUGCUCGAAAGAGCAGCUAAUACCGCAUACGACCUGAGGGUGAAAGCGGGGGAUCGCAAGACCUCGCGCAAUUGGAGCGGCCGAUAUCAGAUUAGGUAGUUGGUGGGGUAAAGGCUCACCAAGCCGACGAUCUGUAGCUGGUCUGAGAGGACGACCAGCCACACUGGGACUGAGACACGGCCCAGACUCCUACGGGAGGCAGCAGUGGGGAAUUUUGGACAAUGGACGCAAGUCUGAUCCAGCCAUGCCGCGUGCGGGAAGAAGGCCUUCGGGUUGUAAACCGCUUUUGUCAGGGAAGAAAAGGCUCCUUCUAAUAUAGGGGGCUCAUGACGGUACCUGAAGAAUAAGCACCGGCUAACUACGUGCCAGCAGCCGCCGUAAGAC